AACGAACGCUGGCGGCAGGCCUAACACAUGCAAGUCGAGCGCCCAGCAAUGGGAGCGGCAGACGGGUGAGUAACACGUGGGAACCUUCCCUAUAGUACGGAAUAGCCCAGGGAAACUUGGAGUAAUACCGCAUACGCCCGAGAGGGGAAAGAUUUAUCGCUAUAGGAUGGGCCCGCGUAGGAUUAGCUAGUUGGUGAGGUAAUGGCUCACCAAGGCGACGAUCCUUAGCUGGUCUGAGAGGACGACCAGCCACACUGGGACUGAGACACGGCCCAGACUCCUACGGGAGGCUGCAGUGGGGAAUAUUGGACAAUGGGCGCAAGCCUGAUCCAGCCAUGCCGCGUGAGUGAUGAAGGCCUUAGGGUUGUAAAGCUCUUUUGCCGGGGACGAUAAUGACGGUACCCGGAGAAUAAGUCCCGGCUAACUUCGUGCCAGCAGCCGCGGUAAU
rnacentral:rRNA from 1 species